rnacentral:rRNA from 1 species
CUCCUACGGGAGGCAGCAGUGAGGAAUAUUGGACAAUGGGCGCAAGCCUGAUCCAGCCAUGCCGCGUGCAGGAUGACGGUCCUAUGGAUUGUAAACUGCUUUUAUACAGGAAGAAACACUACUUCGUGAAGUAGCUUGACGGUACUGUAAGAAUAAGGAUCGGCUAACUCCGUGCCAGCAGCCGCGGUAAU